GUGUUGAUAUGUUCAAUACGAAAUUAAGUCGACUUACUGCAGGACUACUGGCACUGCAGCACAUGCCUCCUUUCCGAAAGGUGUGAAAUGCGAGGAUGGAAGGACUCAUGACACUAAGUGAGCCUCUCUGGUGAAGCGCAAGGCACCUGCGGGGAAAGCCUUUAGCAGUCACCUGGAGGUGGCUCGCCUGCUGUUUCAGACAAGCAAGGAUCUGAAUUAGGAUGGGUUUGCAGGAAAAGAGAAAUAGCCCCUAGACUCCGGAGAAGCCCAGCUUUUGCAGAAGGGAGAGCCUCUCCAGGAGCAGCACACCCCCCCUAGGAAAUUUGGACUUUCAAGUUGCUUUAUCCAUACCUUACUGCAUUGCCAAGGCUGCUCCUGUGCACCCAGAGCUGGCCUCAGUCCUGUUGGGCUAGAGGCAAGAAAAUGGACACGGGUCUGGAUAGCCAAUGACUGGACAUGGAAGGAUGGCUAAGGGCCUGCAGGUGGCUGAUGGAGGAAUCAGGGCCCUGCUCUCCAUGCUGCUGCUGGCUCCCACCUCGAAGACAUGGGCCAGGGGGAGCCAGGGGCUUGCAUCUGCCCCUCCAUACAGCUUGAAAGGACUGGAACAAAGCCUUCUGUUUCUCUCAAGGGAGUGUUAUGUGUGCAGUAUUUGCUGUAAAGGGAGAAAAGGACAAGAACUCUUCAUGAGCAACCCGGCCCAGCAGCCUAUGGCACUCUGGAACCAAGAGAGCAAGCAAACAACCUUAGUAGAACAACAAAUAAACUGAGAUGCUCAACUACAGAGCUACAACUCAGAGGACAUGGACCUUCCGUGCUAGCAGAUGACAGCCCAAAAGGGAAGAAAGGUAGGAACAAAAUUAACUCUUCAUAUCAUAAUAGCAGUUAUUCAAAGUGGAGACCAGUGAUGCUAGGACAUCCUCAACUUGUCAAGUGAUAUCUGCCUUUCUUUCAGUGCUUUUCUCUUCCAUG